AGAGUUUGAUCAUGGCUCAGGACGAACGCUGGCGGCGUGCCUAAUACAUGCAAGUCGAACGCGUCUUGGUCAAUGAUUUUAGGUGCUUGCACUUGACUGAUUUGACAUUAAGACGAGUGGCGAACUGGUGAGUAACACGUGGGUAACCUGCCCUUGAAGUAGAGGAUAACACUUGGAAACAGGUGCUAAUACUGCAUAACAACGAAAACCGCCUGGUUUUCGUUUGAAAGAUGGCUUCGGCUAUCGCUUUAGGAUGGACCCGCGGCGUAUUAGCUAGUUGGUGAGGUAACGGCUCACCAAGGCAAUGAUACGUAGCCGACCUGAGAGGGUAAUCGGCCACAUUGGGACUGAGACACGGCCCAAACUCCUACGGGAGGCAGCAGUAGGGAAUCUUCCACAAUGGACGAAAGUCUGAUGGAGCAACGCCGCGUGAGUGAUGAAGGGUUUCGGCUCGUAAAACUCUGUUGUUGGAGAAGAACGGGUGUCAGAGUAACUGUUGACAUCGUGACGGUAUCCAACCAGAAAGCCACGGCUAACUACGUGCCAGCAGCCGCGGUAAUACGUAGGUGGCAAGCGUUGUCCGGAUUUAUUGGGCGUAAAGCGAGCGCAGGCGGUUUUUUAGGUCUGAUGUGAAAGCCUUCGGCUUAACCGGAGAAGUGCAUCGGAAACCGGGAGACUUGAGUGCAGAAGAGGACAGUGGAACUCCAUGUGUAGCGGUGAAAUGCGUAGAUAUAUGGAAGAACACCAGUGGCGAAGGCGGCUGUCUGGUCUGCAACUGACGCUGAGGCUCGAAAGCAUGGGUAGCGAACAGGAUUAGAUACC
rnacentral:rRNA from 1 species